GUAUGGUGCAAGCGUUAUCCGGAUUUACUGGGUGUAAAGGGAGCGUAGACGGAGUGGCAAGUCUGAUGUGAAAACCCGGGGCUCAACCCCGGGACUGCAUUGGAAACUGUCAAUCUAGAGUACCGGAGAGGUAAGCGGAAUUCCUAGUGUAGCGGUGAAAUGCGUAGAUAUUAGGAGGAACACCAGUGGCGAAGGCGGCUUACUGGACGNUNACUGACGUUGAGGCUCGAAAGCGUGGGGAGCAAACAGGAUUAGAUACCCUGGUAGUCCACGCCGUAAACGAUGACUGCUAGGUGUCGGGUAGCAAAGCUAUUCGGUGCCGCAGCUAACGCAAUAAGCAGUCCACCUGGGGAGU
rnacentral:rRNA from 1 species